rnacentral:rRNA from 1 species
AUUGAACGCUGGCGGCAUGCCUUACACAUGCAAGUCGAACGGUAACGCGGGGCAACCUGGCGACGAGUGGCGAACGGGUGAGUAAUGUAUCGGAACGUGCCCAGUUGUGGGGGAUAACUGCUCGAAAGAGCAGCUAAUACCGCAUACGACCUGAGGGUGAAAGCGGGGGAUCGCAAGACCUCGCGCAAUUGGAGCGGCCGAUAUCAGAUUAGGUAGUUGGUGGGGUAAAGGCUCACCAAGCCGACGAUCUGUAGCUGGUCUGAGAGGACGACCAGCCACACUGGGACUGAGACACGGCCCAGACUCCUACGGGAGGCAGCAGUGGGGAAUUUUGGACAAUGGACGCAAGUCUGAUCCAGCCAUGCCGCGUGCGGGAAGAAGGCCUUCGGGUUGUAAACCGCUUUUGUCAGGGAAGAAAAGGCUCCUUCUAAUAUAGGGGGCUCAUGACGGUACCUGAAGAACAAGCACCGGCUAACUACGUGCCAGCAGCCGCGGUAAGAC